GAUGAACGCUGGCGGCGUGCCUAAUACAUGCAAGUCGAGCGAACAGACGAGGAGCUUGCUCCUCUGACGUUAGCGGCGGACGGGUGAGUAACACGUGGAUAACCUACCUAUAAGACUGGGAUAACUUCGGGAAACCGGAGCUAAUACCGGAUCAUAUAUUGAACCGCAUGGUUCAAUAGUGAAAGACGGUUUUGCUGUCACUUAUAGCUGGAUCCGCGCCGCAUUAGCUAGUUGGUAAGGUAACGGCUUACCAAGGCAACGAUGCGUAGCCGACCUGAGAGGGUGAUCGGCCACACUGGAACUGAGACACGGUCCAGACUCCUACGGGAGGCAGCAGUAGGGAAUCUUCCGCAAUGGGCGAAAGCUUGACGGAGCAACGCCGCGUGAGUGAUGAAGGUCUUCGGAUCGUAAAACUCUGUUAUUAGGGAAGAACAAAUGUGUAAGUAACUAUGCACGUCUUGACGGUACCUAAUCAGAAAGCCACGGCUAACUACGUG
rnacentral:rRNA from 1 species